UUGUGUGGGAAUUGUUUGGGCUCUUAGAUUAAAAAAACGUAUCCUAGAAAGUAAAUUAAUAGUCGCAUUCCUGACAAACGUUCCUACUCUGAGUGCUCAGUGAGUGCUUCUAGAAUAAUUUAGCUACACAUCUAAUGAAGGAUUUUCAGUGGAUAUUAGCGACAGCACCAAGAAGAAAAACAAGAUGCCUGUGCCCGGCGCUGUCCGCUCCUUUUCAUCUUCCACCCGCUGGAACCUUCUGGCAAGAAGGGGAGGAGGAUGACUCGAGCAAAGGAAGAGCGUUUGCACCACCAGGUGGACUACCAAAGCUGAACUCUCAGGAGGAAGAGAUUUUGCCCCAGUGAGAUAAUCGGGCUCUUCUCGACCCCAGCAGACCCCCAGGGGACCCAGCUUCCACGAUCAACUGAAGACUGGAAAUGUCAGAUGAUCACUCAGGAAUUUGUCACAUGGCUAUAUUCCGUAGGUGUAAACCCAGGCGGUUACCAUCAUUUGUUAUGACACAUCCCUAUUUGCUGCGCUGGUUGCUAGCAGAGUUCCUUGAGGGCUUUGGUAAUCAGGGCAGAGGCGGAAGGUUCCACUUCAGUCUGCGCCUGUGUGUUCUGAAUGGUCAGUUUCACUGCAGUCCUCAGGCCCUUCAAAUCACCAGCUGCCUUGUCGCUGUCAUCACCAACCGUUUUUGGAGACAGAUCCAGGGGGCCGAUCUUCUGGACCAGGACAGACUUCCCUACCGGAGCACCUUAGAGUGAUGCCCUUUUCUGACUCAACCCUAAACAGACAGCCCCAAGCUACCUUGCAGGUGCAUAUGAGGAUUCUUCCCCAGCCCCUUGUGGUUGGGCAAGACCAAUGACUUGCUUCGGCCAAUGAGACGUGCACAGAAAUGACCCAUCACCUCCAGUUAGCUGCACUGAAGAGCUGGUGUGGGGGCUUCUCUUCUCUCUGCCCCUGCUGUGAGGAUUGUGGACACUUGUGUUGAUGUGGAGGUGCCCGGACAUGGAAGCUGCCUGAAGUGCUGAGCCAACACUUGGAGGACAGGAGCCGGAUGUGACUGUGCAUCCAGCCAUCAUCUAGUCGCCAUGAUGGUUGGUGGCUAACAACUCAGAGUUGCACCCUUCUCAGGAAAAUUGUCCUCAGUUUGUCCCAAGUAUUUGGAUGGCCUACAAACAAUGACUGACGUAUGCAGUGGGGAUACAAAGGCCCAGCCUGCUUGCUUCAAGGCCAGAAGACUUCGUGGUACCAUGUUUGCUCUAUAUCUUCCAGUGAGGUCAGGCUGAGGUAAAGCUUCAUUUGAACCCUUGUCUUUACUAGGUUAUCCCGCUGUCUUAGCCUAUUUCCUGCAUUCUUUAGAUUUCACUGAAGAGAACAUCUUUGAUAAGUCAAUUGUAUAGAAAUCUUCAUCUUAGCUAUGGCUUCUAGGGAACCUGACCUAAGACAGCUGAAUCCCAGUGUUUCCCCACUUCUGAAACAAGCUCUCAGCCUGUGCUUCAGAAAUCAGCCUGCCGUCAACAUCUGGGUUAGAUUACAUUAUAUGGUGAGUUACUAUGUUCGGUCCUGUUCCUUAUUACAAUUUCAGGGUCCACAUGUGGUAAAAUUAAAGGGAAAGAAACCCCACCAGAUAGAGAUUUCUAGCUAUGCUUUUAUUAUUCCUGAGAGGGUUUGGCUAUUCAAAAUAAAGCAAAAGAAAAAGGUUUUAAGAAUUCAGUCCCUUUAAUUUUAAAAUGAGUGCAGCAGCUGCAGGAUUUUGUAGCACCUA